rnacentral:rRNA from 1 species
GCUUACACAUGCAGUCGAACGAUGAAGCCCAGCUUGCUGGGUGGAUUAGUGGCGAACGGGUGAGUAACACGUGAGUAACCUGCCCUUAACUCUGGGAUAAGCCUGGGAAACUGGGUCUAAUACCGGAUAGGAGCGUCCACCGCAUGGUGGGUGUUGGAAAGAUUUAUCGGUUUUGGAUGGACUCGCGGCCUAUCAGCUUGUUGGUGAGGUAAUGGCUCACCAAGGCGACGACGGGUAGCCGGCCUGAGAGGGUGACCGGCCACACUGGGACUGAGACACGGCCCAGACUCCUACGGGAGGCAGCAGUGGGGAAUAUUGCACAAUGGGCGAAAGCCUGAUGCAGCGACGCCGCGUGAGGGAUGACGGCCUUCGGGUUGUAAACCUCUUUCAGUAGGGAAGAAGCGAAAGUGACGGUACCUGCAGAAGAAGCACCGGCUAACUACGUGCCAGCAGCCGCGGUAAUACGUAGGGUGCGAGCGUUAUCCGGAAUUAUUGGGCGUAAAGAGCUCGUAGGCGGUUUGUCGCGUCUGUCGUGAAAGUCCGGGGCUUAACCCCGGAUCUGCGGUGGGUACGGGCAGACUAGAGUGCAGUAGGGGAGACUGGAAUUCCUGGUGUAGCGGUGGAAUGCGCAGAUAUCAGGAGGAACACCGAUGGCGAAGGCAGGUCUCUGGGCUGUAACUGACGCUGAGGAGCGAAAGCAUGGGGAGCGAACAGGAUUAGAUACCCUGGUAGUCCAUGCCGUAAACGUUGGGCACUAGGUGUGGGGACCAUUCCACGGUUUCCGCGCCGCAGCUAACGCAUUAAGUGCCCCGCCUGGGGAGUACGGCCGCAAGGCUAAAACUCAAAGGAAUUGACGGGGGCCCGCACAAGCGGCGGAGCAUGCGGAUUAAUUCGAUGCAACGCGAAGAACCUUACCAAGGCUUGACAUGUUCUCGAUCGCCGUAGAGAUACGGUUUCCCCUUUGGGGCGGGUUCACAGGUGGUGCAUGGUUGUCGUCAGCUCGUGUCGUGAGAUGUUGGGUUAAGUCCCGCAACGAGCGCAACCCUCGUUCCAUGUUGCCAGCACGUCGUGGUGGGGACUCAUGGGAGACUGCCGGGGUCAACUCGGAGGAAGGUGAGGACGACGUCAAAUCAUCAUGCCCCUUAUGUCUUGGGCUUCACGCA